CUCCAAAAGGGGUGUUGGGCUGAAGUCGGCUGGGGUUGCCGGCUUCAGCCCAGUAUCUCACAUUCUCUCCCCCUUAAGAAAAUUUCGUCCUCGAAAUUUGAGAGAUCUAGGCCUUUCAAAUUUAGAAAUGCUCAGCCCAUUGAGUAAUACAAAUCCAAGAUCUCAUUCUCCUUGAUCAAAAUCAGUGUGAUAGAUAGCUUUAGAUCAAUUAUCAAAAAUUUCAUAAGUGACUAACUAAAAUCUCAGAUUGAAAUUAUCAUCUUGAUGCAUAUUCACUCGAGUUAGAUCAGGAUCGAUUCACAACAAGAUUGAUUAAAAUUAGUUGCGUUUGGGAUAGAACUUGAAAUGAAAUAGAUCUCAUACAGUUAUCAAGGUAGUGUACUGAUCCCUCAAAGGAUAAUGACCAACCUUAGAGUCAAAUCAUUAUAUUGCUAAGAAUAUGAUUCACAAAAUGAACAUGUACUGACGAUCAUUAGAUAGCAACGGUCUAUCUCAAAAAUGAUUUGCAUCAAAUCACAAGAGCAGGUCUAGGAAGGCAAAGUAUUGAUACCAUAUGCCACAAAGCUUUUAACUUAAACUUAUAAAUUAUAAGAUGGGAGCAAAUAAUGCAUGGUUUAUUCAGAUACUUAACAAAUUAGACCAUAUUUAGUCAACAAUCAACUAACCCGAGUCAUGAUACGCUCAAAUUAUUAUUAUUAUUAUUAUUUUCUUAGCAUACCCAAAAAAUAGCAAAUUCUACCCAAGAGAUAACAUAAUCAUAUCAUGAUUGA
rnacentral:lncRNA from 1 species